GCAGUCGCCGCGGUAAUACGAAGGGUGCAAGCGUUACUCGGAAUUACUGGGCGUAAAGCGUGCGUAGGUGGUGGUUUAAGUCCGUUGUGAAAGCCCUGGGCUCAACCUGGGAAUUGCAGUGGAUACUGGGUCACUAGAGUGUGGUAGAGGAUAGUGGAAUUUCCGGUGUAGCAGUGAAAUGCGUAGAGAUCGGAAGGAACAUCUGUGGCGAAGGCGACUAUCUGGGCCAACACUGACACUGAGGCACGAAAGCGUGGGGAGCAAACAGGAUUAGAUACCCCUGUAGUCCCUGUCUCUUAUAC
rnacentral:rRNA from 1 species